rnacentral:rRNA from 1 species
CCCUUAGACGUUCUGGGCCGCACGCGCGCUACACUGACGAAGGCAACGAGCUUUCCUUUACCGAAAGGUACGGGUAAUCUUUUGAAACUUCGUCGUGCUGGGGAUAGAUCCUUGCAAUUUUUGAUCUUAAACGAGGAAUGCCUAGUAAGCGCAAGUCAUCAACUUGCGUUGAUUACGUCCCUGCCCUUUGUACACACCGCCCGUCGCUACUACCGAUUGAAUGGUCUAGUGAGGCCUUCGGAUCCGCGACUCGUUUGUGGAGAAGUUGGACAAACUCAGUCAUUUAGAGGAAGUAAAAGUCGUAACA